AGACAAUCUGGGCCUAUUGGGAGCUUUGAUUUGUUGUAAACUUCAGCUGUUUUAAACGUUAAGUCGCGGGAGACUGAGGCUAAUUUCCAAGGGGAGAUGCCUCACCACAAAAUCUCCCUCUCUGCCCUGCCACAGUUGGUACUGAUUUGACUGUCUCUGCAGAGAAGCCAAGGAUCAAAUGCUCCAUGGCGCCAGACUGUUUUCUUUUGCAGCCUGCAGGUCACCAGGAUACUUAAGAAGUUUGCGUUAAUUAUACCAUGUUUGCCAUCAAAGAGGGGAUAUUAACCCUUUCGAGCUGUUGCAGGAAAGCAGUGGAGUCAUUUGAAAGAACUGCUGAAGCCUCUGCUCAGAGAAGCACGCUCCUCCGGGCGCUGGGGGAUGCACCACCCCUCCUGACAGCCUGAUGGAUUAUGGCCCCAGUUCUGUCAGCAGAUCCAACCAAACCAGCAAACCGACGGCAGAGAGGCAGCCCCCAGUGAUCUCAGCCUCAUUUCUGCCCUUCCUCCCUGUGAAGUCCACCGGGGCCUGGAUGCCUGAGACAGCACGCGCUGGCUGCAUGUGGAUGUGGUGGCCACACUGCCCAAAGUUUACCCAAGCAGCUAAUCUGCAUUUUUAAGCAACAGCUGCCAAC